rnacentral:rRNA from 1 species
GUGACCUACGGGAGGCAGCAGUGAGGAAUAUUGGUCAAUGGCCGAAGGGCUGAACCAGCCAAGCCGCGUGAAGGAAUAAGGCCCUACGGGUCGUAAACUUCUUUAGUCAGGGAACAAAGGGUGCCACGCGUGGCGCUGUGAGCGUACCUGAAGAAUAAGCAUCGGCUAACUCCGUGCCAGCAGCCGCGGUAAUACGGAGGAUGCGGGCGUGAUCCGGAUUAAUUGGGUUUAAAGGGAGCGUAGGCGGUUUGUCAAGUAAGCGGUAAAAAU